CAGGUCAGCAUACUGCCGUGAAUACGUUCCCGGGCCUUGUACACACCGCCCGUCACACCAUGAGAGUUGGGAAUACCCGAAGCCUGUGAGCUAACGAAAGAGGCAGCAGUCGAAGGUAGAAUCAAUGAUUGGGGUGAAGUCGUAACAAGGUAAC
rnacentral:rRNA from 1 species